AUGUCAUCGUUCGCCGGUGUAUCUAUCUUGGAGGACAGCAAGUUGUGCCCUUCCACCACGACCUUCGUCGAGACCCGCUCCCGCUGCGGGUACCACCUGCUUGUGGUCCAAGGUUACUCGCGUACCAAAAAGGAGACACCCACUGGGCAGAGCAUCGAGUCUCGUGGUUUCGGGGUGGGAGGCCAUCGUUGGUCCAUCAAGUAUUAUCCCAAUGGUGAGAACUCGAGUUGCUCGGACUUCGUUUCUCUCUAUGUAUCCCGCCUUGACGGUGGUGACAGGAAGCAUGUGGAAGCCAGGUUCGUUUUUAGUUUUGUCGACCAGGUUGAGAAGCAGAACCCAGUAUACAUUCGCGAAAGCGAAAGCGAAACACGCAGAUCCCUCUUCAAUGGUUCUUAUUGGGGCUGCGGCACGUUUAUGAGAAGAGACGCCCUUGAACGAUCAAUAUAUCUAGGGGAGGAUGAUUGUUUCACCAUUCGGUGUGACGUCAUGGUCUGCAACCCCCAGGAUGCCAGCGGCCAUGGAGCCGAGGUGCUCCUACCUGACAUGCACCACCAUUUCAACAAUCUCCUUGACAACAAGGUGGGCACUGAUGUGAAGUUUGAGGUCGACGGCGAGACAUUUGAUGCACAUCGAUGUGUGCUUGCAGCCCGAUCUAAAGUCUUCAUGGCACAACUCUUUGGCCCAAUGCAGGAGGGCACGGUUACCCCUGCUGUCAUACAGAUUGAAGACAUGGAAGCAAAAGUUUUCAAGGCCUUGCUUAGCUUUAUCUACACAGACUCAUUCCCUAUGAUGGAGUAUGACGACAUGGAUGAGGAUGAAAUGUCACAACUUAUGGAAGAAGGACAAGAAACGGAAGCAAUAGAAGAUGGAAUGCUGCUGCAAUGGCUCCGAGACUUGUUUGUAGCGGCUGACAAAUAUGACGUCCAACGCCUCAAAUGCAUUUGUGUGAGGCAGCUGUCCAAACACAUGGGUGUGCUCUCGGUGAUGUCCACUCUUGCUCUAGCCGAGCAACAUCACUGCCAGGAAUUGAAGGAGGCGUGCUUGAAGUUUAUCCAAGUCCAGUCUUCGAUGUGCUUGCAAGCAAUAAUGACAACUAAUGGUUGGGAUCAUGUAUACACGACCUACCCCUUCAUUGUGAAGGAGCUCAUUGCCAAGCUUGCUUCGAACCAGCGGAAAUAA
rnacentral:rRNA from 1 species